GAUGAACGCUCGCGGCAGGCCUAACACAUGCAAGUCGAGGGAGAAGCCCUUUCGGGGGCAGAAACCGGCGCACGGGUGCGUAACGCGUAUGCAACCUACCUUUCACAGGGGGAUAGCCCGAAGAAAUUUGAUUAAUACCCCAUAAUAUUAUUGGAUGGCAUCAUUUGAUAAUUAAAACUGCGGUGGUGAAAGAUGGGCAUGCGUCCUAUUAGCUAGUUGGAGUGGUAACGGCACCCCAAGGCUACGAUAGGUAGGGGUCCUGAGAGGGAGAUCCCCCACACUGGUACUGAGACAGGGACCAGACUCCUACGGGAGGCAGCAGUGAGGAAUAUUGGUCAAUGGUCGGAAGACUGAACCAGCCAUGCCGCGUGCAGGAAGAAUGCCUUAUGGGUGGUAAACUGCUUUUAUAUGGGAAGAAUAAGGCGUACGUGUACGUUGAUGACGGUACCAUAUGAAUAAGCAUCGGCUAACUCCGUG
rnacentral:rRNA from 1 species